rnacentral:rRNA from 1 species
UGAUUAAGGGAAACUGUAAAGCGCUUUUUUUUAAGAAUAAGUAUUUUGAACUAAUAAUUCAAAUUAUUGAAUUUAUUAAAAGAAUAAGUACCGGCUAAUCACGUGCCAGCAGCCGCGGUAACACGUGGGGUGCAAGCGUUAAUCAGAAUUAUUGGGCGUAAAGUGUGAUAAGGCUGUUUAAAAAGAUUUAUAUUAAAUAUCUGAUUUAAAAUCAGAAAAUAUAUAAAUUACUAUUAAACUAGAGUUCAGUAUAGGAAAAUAGAAUUUUAUGUGUAGCAGUGAAAUGCGCUGAUAUAUAAAGGAAUGCCAAAUGCGAAAGCAUUUUUCUUGGCUGCAACUGACGCUUAAUUACGAAAGCGUGGGUAGCAAACAGGAUUAGAUACCCUGGUAGUCCACGCCCUAAACGAUGUCAAUUAACUGUUAGUUUUUUAUUUACUAGUGGUGUAGCUAACGCGAUAAAUUGACCGCCUGGGGACUACGAUCGCAAGAUUAAAACUCAAAGGAAUUGACGGGGACCAGCACAAGCGGUGGAUGAUGUGGAUUAAUUCGACAAUACGCGAAAAACCUUACCUACUCUUGACAUGGUUAGAAUUCUACUGAAAAGUAGAAGUGCUUGAAAAAGAACUAACACACAGGUGCUGCAUGGCUGUCGUCAGCUCGUGUCGUGAGAUGUUGGGUUAAGUCCCGUAACGAGCGUAACCCCCACUCUUAGUUGCUAAUUAUAGAACUUUAAGAGAACUGCUAAUGAUAAGUUUAGAGGAAGGAGGGGAUGACUUCAAGUCCUCAUGGCCUUUAUGGGUAGGGCUUCACACGUCAUACAAUGGUUAAUACAAAAAGUUGCAAUAUCGCGAGAUGGAGCUAAUCUUUAAAAUUAAUCUUAGUUCGGAUUGUACUCUGCAACUCGAGUGCAUGAAGCAGGAAUCGCUAGUAAUCGCGGAUCAGCGUGUCGCGGUGAAUACGUUAACUGGUCUUGUACACACCGCCCGUCACACCAUGGGAAUAGGCUUCAUUUUAAACAAAACCAUUUAAAGGUUUUAUCACAAUGAGGU